AGAGUUUGAUCCUGGCUCAGGAUGAACGCUGGCGGCGUGCCUAAUACAUGCAAGUCGAGCGAACUGAUAAGGAGCUUGCUCCUUUGACGUUAGCGGCGGACGGGUGAGUAACACGUGGGUAACCUACCUAUAAGACUGGGAUAACUUCGGGAAACCGGAGCUAAUACCGGAUAAUAUUUCGAACCGCAUGGUUCGAUAGUGAAAGAUGGUUUUGCUAUCACUUAUAGAUGGACCCGCGCCGUAUUAGCUAGUUGGUAAGGUAACGGCUUACCAAGGCGACGAUACGUAGCCGACCUGAGAGGGUGAUCGGCCACACUGGAACUGAGACACGGUCCAGACUCCUACGGGAGGCAGCAGUAGGGAAUCUUCCGCAAUGGGCGAAAGCCUGACGGAGCAACGCCGCGUGAGUGAUGAAGGUCUUCGGAUCGUAAAACUCUGUUAUUAGGGAAGAACAUACGUGUAAGUAACUGUGCACGUCUUGACGGUACCUAAUCAGAAAGCCACGGCUAACUACGUGCCAGCAGCCGCGGUAAUACGUAGGUGGCAAGCGUUAUCCGGAAUUAUUGGGCGUAAAGCGCGCGUAGGCGGUUUUUUAAGUCUGAUGUGAAAGCCCACGGCUCAACCGUGGAGGGUCAUUGGAAACUGGAAAACUUGAGUGCAGAAGAGGAAAGUGGAAUUCCAUGUGUAGCGGUGAAAUGCGCAGAGAUAUGGAGGAACACCAGUGGCGAAGGCGACUUUCUGGUCUGUAACUGACGCUGAUGUGCGAAAGCGUGGGGAUCAAACAGGAUUAGAUACCCUGGUAGUCC
rnacentral:rRNA from 1 species